rnacentral:rRNA from 1 species
UACGAAGGGGGCUAGCGUUGUUCGGAAUUACUGGGCGUAAAGCGCAUGUAGGCGGCGAUUCAAGUCGGGGGUGAAAUCCUGAGGCUCAACCUCAGAACUGCCUUCGAUACUGUCUUGCUAGAGUGUGGAAGAGGUUGGUGGAACUGCGAGUGUAGAGGUGAAAUUCGUAGAUAUUCGCAAGAACACCAGUGGCGAAGGCGGCCAACUGGUCCAUUACUGACGCUGAGAUGCGAAAGCGUGGGGAGCAAACAGG